AAAAAAAAAAAAAAGAUACCCCAUGGACGUCCGUAAUGCUGAUGUACCGCUCACAACAUACUAAUUGAAACUGAGUCGGAUAACCCUGGUCAGUGAUCCUGCCUCAUUUACAAUCCGGAUAGGAACUCCACAAGCCACUCCCAAGGUACAUGUUACAGGGUCAGAAACAAUGAAACAAGGCAUCGGAGCAGUGUGGCAACAGGUUCUGGUGGUUGGCUGUCCAUUCUUAGGGCUUUGAGGCCUGGCUGAGAACUGAAGAGACCUGAGAUUUCGUGUUCCAACUCCUUCACUUGGAAACAAUAAGCCCACAAGGUCCACAGAGGGAUGAGCAACCUCCUGGACAGUCCAUCCCCAUGGAUACCCAGAAGAACCAUAGAAGCAUCCUGGACAGUCCAUCCCCACGGGUACCCAGAGGAGCCUUAGGCAUCAUGGAGAGAUGCAUCCUGGACAGUCCAUCCUCAUGGAUACCCAGAGGAGCCUUAGGCAUCAUAGAGAGAUGCAUCCUGGACAGCCCAUCCCCAUGGGUACCCAAAGGAGCCUUAGGUAUAGCUGAUAGAUGCAUCCUGAACAGUCCAUCCCCAUGGAUACCCAGAGGAGCCUUAGGCAUCAUAGAGAGAUGCAUCCUGGACAGCCCAUCCCCAUGGGUACCCAGAGGAGCCUUAGGCAUCAUGGAGAGAUGCAUCCUGAACAGUCCAUCCCCAUGGAUACCCAGAGGAGCCUUAGGCAUCAUAGAGAGAUGCAUCCUGGACAGUCCAUCCUCAUGGAUACCCAGAGGAGCCUUAGGCAUCAUGGAGAAAUGCAUCCUGGACAGCCCAUCCCCACGGGUACCCAGAGGAGCCUUAGGCAUCAUGGAGAGAUGCAUCCCUUGAACAUAGGUUCUUACUGCACAUUCACAGCCCACUUACUUUGGUUUAACUUCUCUGUGGCAAUGGCCUGAAGCAGAAGAGAAGGCUGUCUAGGUGUGUAGUCUGACUAGAGACCUUCUCUCAGGUGGACUCUGAACAAGCACGUGCAUACAUGAGAGCGAAAGACAGGAACAGACGACAGACAGACAGGCAGACACUGGGGAGAUUGGGGGGAGUGGACACUAGAAGUCCCAGCCCAGAGGCAGGCAGAAGUGCCCAUGCCCUGCAAGAGAAGCUUUUUGCUGGCCUCUCCCUGUUUUCCUGUGAAGACCAGCUCUUAGCAAGGACAGACACCGUCCAGAUGGGUCACUGGGAGUCCACAAGCCCCGCCCACCAGGAUUCAAACCACAGGCCACACCCAGGCCUGGCUGGGAAUGGCAUCUCUCAUGUUAGGAAAUAUGAACCUCCAGGAUCCCAUAUGGGUCUGGGAGUGCCCUCACAGAGAGCCCUUUGUGCCUGGGAGAGGGGUGGCCUGUUUAUUCUGGCAGCUGUCCAGACAUUGCCUACCUCCAUUCACCGGGGCGCCCCACCUUCCCUCUGCGUUUGGCCCCUCCCUUCCUCCCAGGACACCAGCGACUCUACCAAGGGCAGGAACUCAGGAGGAGGAGGAGGCCUAGCUCUGAGGGAACCGUGACCCCGGAGAGCCUUAGGCUUAGAGGCUGAGAUGACUUCAGGGCCUGCUGUCAGAAAGAGACAGGGCUCAGGGGACAGUCUCAGGAUGAGGGAGCAUGGAGUAGAAACAAGGAAUAUCCUCAGGGCUGGAAUGGAGUUGCUCCGUGGCUACCAACACCUUCCAGUUCCUUCUGCCUGGGAAGAGGGUGGGAUACGGCGCCAUCUGGCUUGUUGCUGGGAGACACCGUCUCUAAAGGUCCACGAUUAUAGUUGCAACUGCUCUUGUUUCUUUUAAAAAUGAAGCUAAAAAGCCCACAGGAAUCUCACGCUCCUCAGUCUUCCUCCCCCUGCUGUCGGCUCCUAUUAUGAAUCCACGACAUCUGCUGGGAGUUAAUUAUGCGUUGUGUGAAGGGUGCAGACCUCCCUUUAACGGAUUUCCCGUCUGGGCAGCAGCAGAAGUCCUAAGUGGAUGUUUUGUUGACAUAGCACAGCCAUGUCAAGGACCCUACAGCCUCCGGGUCAGAAGGAUGGCGAAGUCCAAGUGUUGACGAUGUGCACAGGAAAUGGCCACCAUGCCCCACCACAUAUUUGGCCUGAAGACUGAUGUCUUAGAGACUUCUCCUACCAGGAGUAGCCGGCCCCGCCUCCUUAAGCCAGCGGUAUACCACACAUCCUCUCUCUUUGUUUAUCUAAGACAAUUCCGCCUUCUUGCCCAGCUGUAUACCAUAACUGACUCCCAGUCCAACCAUGUAUAAUAAACACAUUGAGGCCAGA